UGUAGAGUUAUUCCCAUAAGUAGCAUGGGCAUUCGAAGUCGAUGUCUUGGAUCACCAAUAAUACCAGAACUACUCAUACGUGUAACCCCCAUCUAAUCCGCUAACCGUUCAUUCACAGUCAGCGAAGAAGGUUCCCCACCAAAACCCAAAAAAAAAACCAAGUUGAGACGACAUGACAGGCGCGAAGACAGAGACAGCCACACGUUUUUAAUCAAAAUUGUACAGGAAAUCAAAAAUCAGUUUUUCAAAAAAUAAAAAUCACAGUUUCUUAUCGCGAUGUUGAUUUGUGGCUGCCGUUUGUUGUUCUUCUCGUCUCAACUUAUUUUGUUAUUGUUUUUUUUCCCUCGGUUCUUUUUUUUUACCCCAAUUGCUUGGCCCAUCGGAAAUUUUGGGUUGGCAGGGCCGUUGUGGCAUGUAAUUUGAGGAAAGCAGCGCCGAAAGCAAACGCAGUAGCUAUGAAAUCAAUUAUGCGAUAAAGAUUUGACAGCACAACGCACUGAGCUGCGCUGCUGCUGGCACUCGAUAAUUAAUUUUAACGCUUUAUCGCAAUUGGAGGUGCGCCUUAUGGAAGGGGCCUUAACUUUAAGGUGGGGAUCGGGAUCCGAAAGAUAGUAGCUGCCGAUAGCCGUCCGAUUUGAUUGAAGUCUGUCCAGCAGGGGCUACGUCUCUAAUCUGUGACACAAUUGGUAAGAAGUUAUGAGUGUGCCUAUGAAUUUAUUAGAGGCCUUUCCUUACCAUCAUAUCCCCUGUACAUUGGGUAAAUACAUGGAUUUUGGUGCGUUUGCUGGGGACGGUGAGCGAUGCUUUCCCAAGAUAUGCAAACGAACUCAAUUAUUUAUUUUAUCACAAAUGAUUUUGCUUAUCAAAUCUAGCAAUCGCUUCAUCUUUGUCUCAGCCAGAAAACCACAAUGACGAAGGGCAGCAGAAGACCUUUCUCAGGCCCAAAGAAUCCACUCCACUCCACUCCACUCGUCUGCCCUUCUUGAGUUUUUCUUACAAUUGCUUGGGUUCGGUCCUGAUUGAGGCCGCCAUUAUUCAAGGAGCCCAGCCAAGCUCCUUGUCCCGCUCUCUCCAUCUCUCUUGCUCUCUCUCUCUCUCUCUCCCUCUGUUUCGGUGGCAUCUUUUUGGCGCUAUCUUUGCGUUGAAAUCUCCACAGUUCAUGUCAAAUUUCUUGUGUUUUUAUAUAUCAUUCGACUGGCUGUGGCUUCCUUGUAAGUAUGUAAAUGCAGCAACGGCCGCUGGCAGCAGCUGCAUUUUGCAUGCCCCUCCACAUCGAAAUCCUCGGAUCCUAACCCAUGCCCCCCUCCAUAGCCCCGUUCCAGCUUUGAGUGAUUGUCAGGGGUUUAUCUUUUGAUGGGGCCUGGCUUCUGUUGCCAGAGAUACAGUACAUGUAUCUGUAUCUGCGACGGAGGCUUGUUAAUUAAGUUUCAAGCAGGUUUCGUCUGGGCGUUGCUCGAAAGUCAAUUUUUAGCACCUAUUGACAUGCAAAGGACCCGCAUGCCACACACCCAAACCGUUCCACAAAUUCCGAGGGCUUCAGACACAAGCAAAGAUAGUGAUGGGAAAAGUACUGAUUAUACAGAUACAAACGAAAACUGCAGUUUGGAUUUGGGCCCCAGGAAAGCAAAUCAAUCAAUUCAACACGCAAAGUUGUUGCCGAUAAUUUCUCUAUUUUGACUCGACCGAAGACGAGAAGACGAGGGGCAAUAAAUAAUAACUCAAUACAAAUCCCAAUUACAGGACGAUUGCCACCCGCCUUGCCGGAAUCGAGGAGCCAGGACCAACGACCAAGGACGAGGGUAACACAGACCAACCCUCUGAGCAUGGGCCAAAGCAGAGCAAAGCAAGGCAAAGCGAAUCCUGGCCGCCUUCGAUUGUCCUUUUUGCCACCCGUACAUAUAUCUGUGUGUGUUCCCUUCAUUUGAUUCGAUCAGCGGGGUUUCGCCUCCAUCAACCACAAAAACAACCAAGGCCAAGGACUGACGGCAUAGCCAGAGGGUUUCCCCUUCCAUACCCUCCAGUCGAGUCGAUUUCGGGCUUAUCCUGCAACCGGCACAUAAAUCGUCGGGCUGCUCCUGCUUCUCCUUUAUUUAAAUUUUCAUUUAAUUUGUUAUUUGUUUACAUGAAACACACCGAUGUGCGACGACAGCGACGGAGGCGACAUAUGACAACAUUCUCAGCCGGUCACAAUUGCCAUUGUCUGAGUGUAGGACUCGAUCGAAGGGAGGGGGGUGAGCGUUUGGGUCAGGACCCCGGCGUGGUAGUGGUCAACGUCAUCUAUUGUGACCACACACCUGGCCGGUGAGCGGAGGAGGAUGGGUCAGUCGUGGGCCACUGUUUGGCAACAGUUCCUAAUUGCUGCAUUCAAAUGGUGACUCCAUUGUGGAGGAGGCACGUAAAUUCCGGGGCGGGAACAGAAGCUUGGCAAAUUAAUUCCUCGGAGACCGAAAACACAUAGCUCCACAGGGCAACAAACUAUUUAUGCAAAUCAGCAGAGAAACCCCAUUUUGUGAGCCCCACCCCGGAGCAUUUAACGCAGUUUAAGCUCACCCGAGCAAAGUAGUUCAGUUCAACGGAGGGCAGCCAAACUGGCCACAUACCCAUAGAUGUAUUCAAAAAUCUUCCCAGCGAUAAGCCGGAGACCAUAAAUACGACAUCCGAGCGACGAUCUUCGGCGAAUUAGCGGCGCGGAGAUCGGGCCUGGGGUAUCUGGACAGCAUCUCUAACAAAUUAAGUGGACAACCAUAAAUCAAAUGGCUGACGACGAAUUUCGAAUGAAAAAUCAAUAAGCAGAAAACUCUAUUCGCUGCGAGGGAGUGGGGCACCUAAAUCAGAAACCGAAUUCCGUAUUGGAGUUCCAAAUCGAAUACGGAUUCGGAAUGGGAAUGGGGCUCGGAGAUCUGUGGCCAAGCAGCGAGCUGCGUGUUUAACAACAAACAAUUAAGAUGGCGUCCAAUCGAUAAGGGCCCUAAAACCAGAGACACAGAAAACGCAGCCAGGAAAGGGUACCAAAUCGUCAGCAAGCAGUUAACAGAAGUCGUGGCCAAUGGGCGCUGAUGAAACAAAUGGACCAUAAUGAAAUAAUUAUGACUGCGCUUGGGCAUCGGACAUGGCCUAUGAUAGACCUGCCUUCGUUUCCAUCCAAAGACGCAUUCAAAACCAGCUCUCUGAUUGAGGCUCCAAAACAAUGCCAGGCACUUUAUCAGCCAACCGAUCGAAUCGUGGCGACUCGCUCGCUGCCAAAGGAUAUGCUUGUGUUUUUGCUUAUCGACGUCUUGGCAUCUGCCAGCGCGAUGCCAGUUGAUGGACUUUGAUUGCCGCUUUUGGCCAUGCGUGAUAUUUAUUUGUUAGUUGACACAAAACGCUGAUUGCUGGACCAGAGCACAGUGGUCGAGAGAUGGCAGAAAUCGAAUAAAAAAAUUCCGAUUAUUUGUCUUUUGUUGGGACAACAUUAAUAGUUUCGUGCAACACCUUUAGCUGAAUUCC